UGCCAAGGGAUGGGAUUCGAACUCACAGUGUUCCGCUUACCGGGCAGAUGCCAUGUCCACUAGGGGUUCCUGGAC